rnacentral:rRNA from 1 species
UACGGGGGGGAGCAAGCGUUGUUCGGAUUUACUGGGCGUAAAGGGCGCGUAGGCGGCACCGCAAGUCGACUGUGAAAUCUCCGGGCUUAACUCGGAAAGGUCAGCCGAUACUGCGGGGCUAGAGUGCAGAAGGGGCAACUGGAAUUCUCGGUGUAGCGGUGAAAUGCGUAGAUAUCGAGAGGAACACCUGCGGCGAAGGCGGGUUGCUGGGCUGACACUGACGCUGAUGCGCGAAAGCUAGGGGAGCGAACGGG